GGAUCACAAGGUAAAUUCCCCAUGAAGGUAGCCCACUCACGCGACCUCCCCUCUCUCUCGUUUCCUCUCCCAUGUAGCCCGCCGCCGCUAGCGUCGCCAGCGGAAGAGGAACGGGCCGCGCUCUCCCACGCAGCCACGCCAACGUCGUCACGCCUUGUGGGAGGAGAAGGUGACGACGACGACGGUUCGAUCUGUGGUCUGCCUCGGCAUGGCAUGGGAGGCAACGGAUCGAUCCGGUCAACCCAGCGUCGUCACGCUCAAGGCCGUCCGCGGCAGCUGCAAAUUGAGGCGGCGACUACAAAUCGAAGGAGCUGAAAGGGACAGACUACCGGGAAGUCAGGGGCUACAUAUCCUUCCUCUCCUUGAUUUUCUCUCCAAAAUCAGAGGUAGAGAUGCUGAUGACUACAAAACUGUGCAAUCUUGGCCACCGGUUCCUCCUCGAGCUCCGAACACCUCUUCGUGCGCGGCGACCGAUGCAGCGUCGCCUCCAUUGCCGUCACCAUCUUCCCAGCCGUGGCGUCCAGGAGCUCGUCGUCGUCCUCGUUCGACGCCUCCGCCUUUGAGGCCAAGAGGCUCUGCCUCGAUGCCGACGCGCGGGCCGACACCGCCGUGAGGCUGAGGGCAUCACACGCAACCCCCGCCACAUCCACCACCGCAUCUCUAACUUCGAUGUCGCAAUCGUCACUGCCGAUUUGAAAAGGAGGAUAACAAUGCGCCGCUUCAUCACUGAGUUACGGAGGUUGGGCGUGUUGACGGAUGCACAAUGCGUGAAGGUCAAUCUGAAUUGAUUUGCCUAGCAGUACUGUUUAUGUCUUUGUGAAGAUUGAUUUGCUAGCAGCUUAUUUUUCUUUUAGAUGCUCAGGUCAUGUUAAAUACUGAGGAAUUCUUUGACAGACCCUAUAGCAAUGUGGCAUCUGCGGAUGGAGAUUGCUAGCAAUUCUACUGGUGGUUGAUUUUGGCGGGUGGUACAAACUUGAUUCAAAAUCUGCAGGCAGCAACUCUUCUCAUAUGAUAGAACACUCUCAAGUAUCAUUGCUGAAAGAUGUCAUUGUACCUUACACACAUUUGCUCCCUACCAUGCACCUAUCAGAAAAUAUGGAUUGCCCCACUCUUCUGUACUUGAAGGGAGCCAAACACAGACAUCAGGGUGGUUUGUUGCGUGAAAAACUGUGGGACUUGAUGGUUAAUGAGCCUGAUGUUAUCAUGGAAGAAGGUUUUCCUAAUGCCACACGACAUGGGCAAUCAAUUAAAGGGAUGCGGGCAGUGGCGUAGGCAGCCCUGAGCCACGCCCCGGGCCAAUAGUCAGUGCUACAGUAGCUACAGUAGCUAAACUGCUACAAUUACCAAAAGAUAUCAGCCACACGCCCCGGGCCAUGGCCCCCCUAGCCUGGGGCCUGUCUACGCCACUGGAUGCGGGUAUCAGAGUUGGCCGAUGCAACAUCACCGAUUUGGAAGGAGGGGUGCAAAUCUGAGGAUGGAUUGAUGAUAUAGUUUUUAAACUGUGCUUGCUGAUAAGAACUACUCUACAUGUUUUUUACAGGUUAAUUGUGAGGAUGUUGUGCUUUAGAGAAAUGAUUUGCAUGUUGCAAGCUUGUAUUUCUAUAUAGCAAGCCACAUGGCGCUAGCAACUCGAUCUGCCAUACCUAGGUCGACGACGCGGCAGCCUCCAUUGCUGUGUCCGGAGGCGAGGAGGGGGAGCAGCCGCUCCCGGACGAGGUCGUCUUCGGCACCUAGAUCCUCUUCAUCAAUCUUUCCCACCUGGACGAACGCACCAUCACCUCUUCAGAUCACAUCACCCUCUUUCUUUCCUUUUCUCUUCAUUCCUCUCUGUUCCUCUUACGUUUCUCUCCUUGGACCACUCCAGAAGGUGUCAAUUUGUACUAUUUUUUCUUGUUGCCUUGUACAAUCUGUCAAUCAUACACUCCUGACCUGUAUGUAUGUGCUGGCUGAUUAAUUUGUGCAAUACAAAGGACAUAUUUAACACAAUACAAGAGGCCAUGGCAGACCAAUCUUGCAAUUUCACCUUCCAUUUGAUAUCUCUGCUCUAAGAUAAGAUAUGACACACAUCUGCUUGGAAAUGGAGGCGGUUUCGUCUUGGUCUGUGUCUUUGUCAUCCGGCAAGUGUCUAGAUUUCUUUUAAUUUCUUGAGUAUUUUUCUUUUAAAAGCCGAAGUGCAGUGUCAUUCCGUUGAGGAGGUUAGCUCUUUUGCUCUUCACAAGUUUCUGCUGAUAUUUGACUAACGUGGUACUAUGAUUCGGCACUAUCAUUUUUGUUUGACUUAUAUACUUCCAUGUUUUUCCUUGUCAGAAACAUUCAAGCCACUGUAACAUGUUUCGUAAGCAAGACCUUAAAUCGUGUUUCCGGAUCUGUCUCAACAAGGAUAUGAAAGAAUUACCAUCACUAUAGCUGGAUAUCAUACAUGAUAUUGGGGAUACAUACUUGCUAUGGUUUUCCCAUUAUAAGGGGAGCACGUCCAGCUAUCGUACGAGAAGAAGUGCGCGCAGCCAAGGACCCAGGAUGCCAGUGGUGUGCAGCCGUUCGCAUCGAGAGGACCAAGGCUGCCAUCAGGGACCUCCGAACCAAGCUCGACAUCUCCGCCGCCUCAUUGACUUCUGCGACGACUCAUCUGAAUGUACAUGUAUUUAUUAUAGUGUGCUCGAUCUGUCCCCCCAAAAACCCUGAUGCUGCCUGUGUUUGAUCAAUGUUUCGUAUUUCGGUGUUGUAUGUACAUGCUGGCAAAGAUGUGGUGAGUCAUUGGCGACGUGCACCGGGUGAUGAAGCGCACAACAAAUGAGGUUGAGGUGAGGCAUCAGAGGCAUGCCAGCCAACAUGUGAGGCAAUUCCUAUUGUUGUAUCUUCUGUCGCCAUGUGGCUAGAUGCUUCUGUCGAUUGAUGGCAUUUUAGUUUCUUUCUCACGUGGUGCAUCAGUAUAAUAAGUUUAUGAAAAAUUGCAUGUAUGUGUUAUCUAGACCCAAAAGAAAAAUUGAAGGGGCGUUUGCACUGCUCAGUACAUUCUCUGAAUA